GUCUAUAUGCCUGAGUUGGUCGAAAGGGUCCGAUAUAGUACUGGAUUGAAUUAAGUUCACGCGGAGGUUCAAAUCCUCCUAUAGACA
rnacentral:tRNA from 1 species